UUGAACGCUGGCGGUAUGCUUAACACAUGCAAGUCGAACGGGGGUAGUAAUACCCUAGUGGCGGACGGGUGAGUAAUGCAUGGGAAUCUGCCUGAUAGUGGGGGACAACGCGGGGAAACUCGCGCUAAUACCGCAUACGCCCUACGGGGGAAAGAGGGGGAUCUUCGGACCUCUUGCUAUCAGAUGAGCCCAUGUCGGAUUAGCUAGUUGGUAGGGUAAAGGCCUACCAAGGCGACGAUCCGUAGCUGGUCUGAGAGGACGAUCAGCCACACUGGGACUGAGACACGGCCCAGACUCCUACGGGAGGCAGCAGUGGGGAAUAUUGGACAAUGGGGGCAACCCUGAUCCAGCAAUACCGCGUGUGUGAAGAAGGCCUGCGGGUUGUAAAGCCCUUUCGACGGGGAGGAAGGCACCGGCGCGAAUAGCGUUGGUGAUUGACGUAACCUGGAGAAGAAGCACCGGCUAACUCCGU
rnacentral:rRNA from 1 species